UCCGGUUUGUCACCGGCAGUCUCAUUAGAGUGCCCAACUAAAUGUAGCAACUAAUGACAAGGGUUGCGCUCGUUGCGGGACUUAACCCAACAUCUCACGACACGAGCUGACGACAGCCAUGCAGCACCUGUGUCCAGGUUCCCUUUCGGGCACCCCUCCAUCUCUGGAGGGUUCCUGGCAUGUCAAGGGUAGGUAAGGUGGGGAUGACGUAUGAGAGUACGUCC
rnacentral:misc_RNA from 1 species